UGUUCAGUCAUGGCAUCUGAACUCUGUAAGACGAUCUCUGUGGCAAGGCUGGAAAAGCACAAGAAUUUGUUCUUAAAUUAUAGGAAUCUGCACCAUUUUCCAUUGGAGUUACUGAAAGAUGAGGGACUACAGUACUUGGAGAGGCUCUAUGUGAAAAGGAACUCCCUUACAACCUUGCCAGAAGCUUCCAAACCUUGUGGAACUGUACCUUCACUCAAAUAACAUAGUUGUGGUUCCAGAAGCCAUUGGAUCCCUCGUAAAACUCCAGUGUUUGGAUCUUAGUGACAAUGCCUUAGAAAUUGUUUGCCCAGAAAUUGGUCGUCUGAGAGCUUUACAUCAUCUUCGAUUAGCUAAUAACCAAAUGCAAUUCCUACCUCCAGAGGUUGGCGAUUUGAAGGAGCUGCAGACACUAGACAUUUCUACCAAUCGUUUGCUAAAUUUACCCGAGAGGCUUCACCUGUGCCUUUCUCUGCAGUACCUCACCGCGGACCGCAAUCGUCUAUGGUGCGUGCCGCGUCAUCUCUGCCAGCUGCCCAGCCUCAACGAGCUCUCCAUGGCUGGAAACCGUCUCGCAUUUUUGCCACUUGAUCUAGAUUGAUCUCGAGAACUACAGUACGUGUACGUGGAUAACAACAUGCACCUGAAAGGCUUGCCAUCCUAUCUGUACAAUAAAGUCAUCGGGUGCAGUGGCUGUGGUGCUCCCAUUCAAGUUUCCGAGGUGAAGCUGCUUUCUUUCUCAUCGGGGCAGCUCACUGUGAUCCUCCCUGCCGAGGUGAAGGCCAUAGGGACAGAGAACGAUCACGUCCUGCCUCUGCAAGAGUUGGCCAUGAAGAGUCUCCAUCACACUUACCACAGUUUUCUUAAAGAUUUGAACUCUCUGUCUCCAAUCUCAUUACCCAGAAGUCUACUGGAGCUGCUGCACUGCCCCCUGGGGCACUGUCACCGGUGUAGUGAGCCCAUGUUUACGAUUGUCUACCCCAAGCUCUUUCCCUUGAGAGAGACGCCGAUGGCAGGGCUGCACCAGGGGAGGACAACAGUGAGCUUCGUGGCUUACUGCUGCUCUACCCAGUGUCUGCAGACUUUUGACCUACUGAGCUGAUAAACACCCGGAGCCCCAGGAGCCUUGCCAUCCUGACACCGCGGCUGCCUGCAGAUCGCACCCUGUUUGUGUCCAGCCUGGCGGAACAGGCCCUCACAUCCUGUCCUGUGCCAUGCUGGGGGGGAGCUGCCGAGCUCUCUAGAAAUGUCGUGAUGGAGCUUCCGAGCUGAAAUGCCUUCACCCUACCCCCCCACCCCACGUUGGAAUAUAUCG